GGUGGCUGUGGCUCAGAGGUAGAGUGGGUCGGCCCUUAACCACAAGAUUCACGGUGCGAUCCCUGGCUCCACCG
rnacentral:tRNA from 1 species